GACCCUUUCGUCUAGUGGCCAAGGACACUAUCACUUCAUGGUAGGAACAGAGGUUCAAAUCCUUUAGGGGUCGCCA
rnacentral:tRNA from 23 species